rnacentral:rRNA from 1 species
UGGGGAAUAUUGGACAAUGGGCGCAAGCCUGAUCCAGCCAUGCCGCGUGAGUGAUGAAGGCCCUAGGGUUGUAAAGCUCUUUCACCGGUGAAGAUAAUGACGGUAACCGGAGAAGAAGCCCCGGCUAACUUCGUGCCAGCAGCCGCGGUAAUACGAAGGGGGCUAGCGUUGUUCGGAUUUACUGGGCGUAAAGCGCACGUAGGCGGACUAUUAAGUCAGGGGUGAAAUCCCGGGGCUCAACCCCGGAACUGCCUUUGAUACUGGUAGUCUUGAGUUCGAGAGAGGUGAGUGGAAUCCCGAGUGUAGAGGUGAAAUUCGUAGAUAUUCGGAGGAACACCAGUGGCGAAGGCGGCUCACUGGCUCGAUACUGACGCUGAGGUGCGAAAGCGUGGGGAGCAAACAGG